GCAUAUUCCUCAAUGUCCAGCGAAUAUUAUUUUAUACAGAUGUGAAUGUCUGGCUGCAACUGUCAAAACAAAACUCUGCCAUUCAGGGGUUAACAUGCAGGCUCUGGGCUUUUUGCAUAUGGACAUUUUGAAACUUUUAAGAUGAUUCCAUCUGGCGGGACCAACCAUCAGGCUGUGUCUAUGCCUGUGAGGUCUGUGAGCAGGGUGGAAAAGGACAGGGAUCACUGUCAGAAUCUCCAGCCAGAGCCCUUCUAGAAGGCAAACACAGAAACACACCGGGAGAUGCCAGGCAUGGGGAUUUUCCAGUCUGCCCUUAUGUACCACCUGACAACUCAGCUCCACGCGUCAGGCAGAGGAAUCCCAUUCAUGAAACUGUUAAGUGUUUCCCCGAUUCAUUGAGAGACACGGAACCCAUCUUGCCACGGUUCAGCUGUGGGUUAAUCCCAGCUAACCCAGAUCAUUGUUCCCUGUACACAAAGGAACUUGGAAUUCUGUGCUGGGGAUGUGUGUCAGAACAGCUUUGUUGCCAGGCAGAAAUAUAGCCAGCCUCAAGGGAGAGAAUAUACAUGAAUGCGUGGGGAGGUAUGUUUCUCCCCCGGCCCUCUCUCUUCCUGGCCUGCCAUCUCUAAUCACCACAGUCAGUAAUGGAGAAGGCUCCCAUGACAGCGCCCCCAGGACAUCCAGAGGCAAGGUCUCCCAUGAUAACCAGCAUCCUGCGGGGCACAUCGUGGGAGAAGACAACAGAAUGUCCGACAGGAGCAGAGCUUAGCCAGGUCUGUUCAACCUCCUCACUUGAUUGGACAGCUGAGACCCAAAGAGGUAAAGGGACCUGCUCGGGGGUGCACACUGAAGUAUUAAUAGACCCAGAACUAGAACACCAGGCUGCCAGCUCCUCAAUGAGCAUAGCUUCCGCUCUACCUCAUUGUCUAGAAGAAAAGUGCCAAUUAGAGGCACAAAAAGCAACAAAGCUGAUGAUGACUAUAAUGGAUGAUUACGUCUUUUCAGAGGGCAUGAAAAAGAGAGCUGAGUAGACGCUGAUGCGAAGGAGCUUCUUCAGUGUAUAAUUAACUGCUGGCUUCUUUGUAUUGUUCCAGGAACGAACCCAGGCACGAUCUGCAGAACAACCUUGCCUGCAGGGGCAAGAAAAGCGGAGCCAGUCUCGGCAGGAGACUGCUCAGGGCUGGGGGUCCUCAGUGGGCUCUGAGUCACUGGGUCCGUUUCUCACUCACAUGCAUUUACAAUGGUGCCGCCUAAAAGGUGACUUCUUGCUGCGGACAGUUGUCAGGGAGGGCAAACUGCUGUGCUGGCAGCCGGUGGGCUUCCCACAUGCCCAGACUCAGGGCUGAGGAAGGACACCCCGAGCCUGAAGUGCACCUCAGUACCCAUCCUCUUUCCAACGAGCAGAGAAAUGUGCUCUGAGCUGCUUCAAGGAAUGAAGCUCCGGAAAUUUGGGGAGCCUGGGAUCCCC
rnacentral:lncRNA from 1 species